GUGGAGGCAGAUGAGGCGGAGGCGUGGCUGUCAUCACUGGCCUUCCUCCCACAGCCCACAGAUGCUAUGGUUCACAUGCUGCUGCCACUGCUCCAGACCCCGCGGGCCAGCCCUGGCGCCUUCCUGGGCAUCUCAGCCCUGGUGCACAACCUCUGUGCCUCUGUGGAUGUGCCCUGCGGACAGCUGCCUGGAGUCAGCUCUCUAGUGAGGAUCCUGGGAGAUGCCUUGGGUGAGGACUGUACCAUCCAGGAGCCCUCGGAUCAUGACAAGGUGAGGACAUCCAGUGUCCUGAGUACCGGCUUCAGUGCACCCAGUGUGGCCCAAGCCAAGCAGCAAGCUCCAGGUGGAGAGGGUGGGGAUGGGUUCCCCCCAUUCCCUGCUUCCGUCCUUCCUCCUAAUCCCCAUCUCCCCUUUCCCCCUUCACCCCAUCCCCCCACCCUCCUGCCGGCCCCUCCACGCCACUUCCCCUCCCCACGCCACUGCCUCUCCCCACACCAGUCCUCUCAUGGUCCUGCCUCCAUCUCGAUUUAGCUCCAGCUUGUGCUGAAGGCGAUCGGCAACGCGGGCUUGGCAGCCAUGGCUCUCACCCCCACACUGAGUGCCUGUGCAUCUCUGAGAAGCAGCGGCCCCGAGAUCCGGCUGGGGGCCAUCCAGGCCUUCCGGAGGGUCCUCUGCUCUGCAGAUGUGAGUCCUUGUGUGCUGUUACACUGGGUUGGGGUUGGGUGGUGGUAGUACUCGAACCACAGUUUGCUAAGUCACUUCUUCAUUUGUUCAUUCAUUUAUCAUGUAUUUAAUGAGCACCUACUAUGGGCUGGGUACUAGUGUGAACAGGUAUCUAGGUCUAAGCUUGUGUGUAGUG
rnacentral:lncRNA from 1 species